AUGCCAUUUGCCUGCCACAGAGCCAGGACCCAGACCUCUGUUUUUGAGAGGCCCAGCAGUGGGGACAGCGAGCAGGGACACCCAGCUGCCCCCAGCUUGGUGGGAUGGGGGGAGGUGGCAUCUCAGGUGCUUCUUGGAAAACAACAACUGCUGCCACAGCCCCCUGGGGGGGACACAACUCCACCCCUGAGGUGGUUUCUCUGGGGACACAUCCUUGCCAGCCCCAUCGACUUAAACCCAGGGACGCGGCGAGCUGGGGCCGAGCUUGGGGGCUUUGGGCUGUGCCUGCGGUGGAAAGCAGCCCGAAGCUCUGCCAGGAGCCAAACCCAGGCCCCGUCCCUGGCGCCGUGGGGCUCAGCAGCCACCCGUGCUGGGUGGAAGAAGCUGCUCAUUACGUGCCCUCCUCGUGGCCACCCCGGUGCCAUCGUGCCACCGCAGGCGAGGGCGCAGAGAGAGCUCGCUGUCAGCUGGGGAUGCCAGAGCCCCCGGCCGGUCCCCCCGACAGCGAAGCCUUCCACUGUUCCAGACCCAAAAACAACUGCAGAAGGUUUCUCCACCCAGCAGCUGGAAGCAGGCCUGGAAACUCAGGGGCUGCCGAGUCAUCACAUUUUCCGUGAAGCAGCAAAGGCUACCGCAAGGAGCAGGGGGAUGGGGGACGCCCAGCACUGGAAAGCUCACUUGCUUGUGCAGAGGGACAGCAGCAGCAGUGAGGUGGCAAAGACCUGGUCCGAGGAUGCUCCUGGCAGCCCCCCUGCACCAUGCCAGCCUCAGAGCAGAGUGGAGCCCACCCCCAGCCCCUCUGGGGACCUUUUGGGGGGAGCAGCAGGCGGAGUGAGGAUGAGCACAGAGGUGUGCAGGAUGUGGGGAUGCGCUAGUGCCAUGGGGUCUGUGCACGGUGACAAAGUCCCCGAGGCUUCGGCAUGGGCAAAGGAGGACCCCUGCACAUCACUGCCCAGCACCACGCCACGAGUGAAGCUGUCAGAGCGUGGAGGAACCCUCCGUGAGCUCGCUGUGAUCUCUGCCAUCACGCCCCGGGCAGGACACCUAGCAGCCCUUCUGGCCCUAAAGGCCCAGUUUUAUGGGACACUGGUGCCACCACCAUCGAGCUGGGAGCAGCUUUGGGGCUCCUGUCCUACCUCGGCCUGGCUGCAGCAUCCCUCUGAUCCCCGUGUCCCUGGUUCCCGUCUCCCCUUGUGCCCACCAGCACCGCGGGCUGCCCCAGGCCACGAUUUCUCCCCGCUGCCACCUCCAGGACACCGAGCGCUGCCUGAGGCUGCGAGGGAGGAACGAGGGGAACGGGCUGCUCCCAGGGACAGAGCCCUUGGGGGGUGCAGGUGCCGCUGGGACCCCUCCCUCUGCAAGGUUCACACGCCGCAGGGCUAG
rnacentral:lncRNA from 1 species